rnacentral:rRNA from 1 species
GACGAACGCUGGCGGCGUGCUUAACACAUGCAAGUCGAACGAAGUGGCGAACGGGUGAGUAAUACGUGGGUAACCUGCCCUCCUUUUUGGGAUAAGCCUUGGAAACGGGGUCUAAUACCGAAUAGAGGGGGAUGGGCUCGCGGCCUAUCAGCUUGUUGGUGGGGUGUUGGCCUACCAAGGCGGUGACGGGUAGCCGGCCACAGAGGGUGACCGGCCACAUUGGGCUGGAGAUACAGCCCAGACUGGCACGGGAGGCAGCAGUGGGGGAUAGUGCACAAUGGGGAAAGGCCUGAUGCAGCGAGGCCGUGUGGGGGAUGAAGGCUGUCAGGUUGUAAACCUGUUUGGCUUUCGAACGGGUAGGUGGAGAAGAAGCGCCGGCUAACUACGUGCCAGCAGCCGCGGUAAUUC